rnacentral:lncRNA from 1 species
GACAGCUUCACUAUUCUGGUCUGCCAGUACAGAUAUCAGUGAUCCAAGAAGAUACAGGAAGAGGCUUGCUGUGGGAGUCGCCUGGAGCCGUCCAUGAUGGUGUAGCAGUAUAAGCACAGGCCAAGCAAGGCGGGCCUUGAGAUGAGGCCAGAUGGGGCCUGAAUCAGGGUGGGUUCAGCAUGUCCAGGAAGGUGCUGCUACUUCACAGACAGGACUCACAGCAUGUACCAUUAGAGACUGGAUCAUUAAAGCACUGGAUAGAACUCUUCAGGCUGUGGAGUGUGUAGGCCACUUCCUGAAGUUCUUAGUGAAUUGUUAUGAGAAAAAGACAAGCGUCUGUCAUCUGAAAGUUAAAAAAGAAGAAAAAUGUGUCUUGAGAAAAGAAGUCCUUUUUCUUUUGGUAGCUGAGUGCCAGACACCACCAUACUUUGCGAGGUUGGAAAAGGUGAGUUCUCUGUUACGUGAUGACGUUUGUUCCAGCAAAGACAGAGACACUGGAAACGGAACAGAAGAAGCGCUAAAAUUGGGAAGGAGCUGGAGCCCGAUUUUGACUUGUCCAAGACAGAAUUGCUCCUAUCUGGAUUAUACAAACAACUCCAGCAUAAAUCAGUAA